UCAGAGUUUAAAAUGGAAGAGUUCUAAGUUGGUCUCCCUUUUGUGGCCAUUAGGAAGCUGUGUAGUGACUAUCUGGGAAGUUCCUGUGACAUCUGAGUGAAUGCUACUGUAUGAAGGAUGAAUAGAAACAAGGUGACAAGCCAGGAAAUGAAAACAACCUAGAUGGCUAUCAACUGAUGAGUAGAAAAUGGAAAUGUGAUUCGUGGACACAAUGGAAUACCAUUCAGCUGUUUAGAAAACAUGAAAUUUGCAGACAGAUACACGACAGUUACUUUCUCCAACCCUUUGGCUUGUGUUACAAGAUUUGGCUCUAUUCUACUACAUUAAAAGAAAAUGCAGUUUUUCUCUAAUAAAAUUGUCCCGGAGCUAAGACAAAACAAAAGCCACCAAUAAAGAGUUCCACAGAGCAUCGGUUCCACAGGGACGUCUAAGGCUGCUGCGGAGCUGCGUGAGAGCAGAGUAGUGUUGAUAUCUUCCCCUCAACGGCCAGCCCUGUAUACCUGAGUCUGCCUCUCCUCCCACCUGCUUGUGUCAUUCUGCUGGUCCAUCUGUUUAUCUCUCCAUCACUGUAUUAUUUUAAAAUAUUAAAUAUUGCAUAAGGUUCCUCCUCA